UCUUGUGAAGCUUUCCCCUUUGAACCUGAUCUCUUUGAGGAAAACUUUGCAGUGAAAGAUGUCCUGAUACUACUUUCCUUAAAUAGAGAAAUAAUAAAAAAAAAAAGACCUGCAUAAGAUAACAUUACUUAUCCAGGAGCUAUGGUGAGGAUGCACCUGCUCCCUGUGGCAGCAUCCCUGGCUAUGCAGUGGCUGUGUGUUUCUCCAUUUUGAAGCAGGAAAUUGCUGCUUGAAAAAGAAUAAAGAUCUUCAAGGGAAUGGGACAAGCAUUCUAUCAGCAUCAGAGUAAGGGGAGAUGAAGUAAAGUCUCUUGUCUCCUUCCCACACCAUUACUUGCCACAAUGGCUUGUAGGUUUGUGCCUCUAACCUGGGUGCAGACACUCUUGGCAACAAAGAAACAGCUACUGUAGAAUGUAAAAACAAGUUGGUAUAUGUAUGUGCACUGAAAUGAGUCACAGCAACAGUUUGGAAAGUGCUCCAUUAAAUGGCCUAUGAAGGAUUAUAGGUUGAGUUCAGCUUCAGUUCAACCUUCAUCAAUCAAUAUUAUUGAAAGCAAAAAUAUGCCAAAGCAAACUUAUUCUGCCAACGCGGCUCAGAUGAGUGGAUGAGGGAAGCACUACGUGACCAACUUCAGAAGGGUUGCUCCACUAAGUGUUGCAGCUGCUUGAACUUAAAAUGUCAGAGUUACUCCAGUUAUAGCUCCUGCUGGGCACCAAAGCCUGUCGGAAAAACCCUAAAAGACAGCUGGAAAGGGAAUAUUGUAUCAAAUGUCAGAGUUCUAAUUGACUGGUGUGAGCAUGGCAAUCACAAAAUACUGAGAGGCCAAAUCCUUGCCCUCAGGUAGUUGGCUUCAGGAGAACUUGCAGGUGCCUUCAAAGUAUAUCUCAUGCAUUCCUCUUGUCUGAGAGGAUAAGAGUCUAAUGCAGCUACUGAAGUUCAGCUUUGAGUGUGAGAGAUAUAGAUCUGUGCUCAGCUCUGCAGGUCAGGGGUUCAAACCUGCUAACAACUUUCGAGGAAGUGAAUCUUAGACAUCUAUGGCAGAAAUCAGUCCUAGAAGUUUAAUACUGGUGAGUUCUCAGUGAACUAUUGAAAAAGAAAUACUGGGAAGAAGGGAAACUUUCUGCCUUUGAAAAUACAAUCUCUACACCCUGCUGUAUCUGAAAAUGUGCUUUUGCAGUGGUGAAAAUGUCAUGUUAUCACUGUCUGACCUCAUUGCAUUGGACAAACCUGUUUAGAGCUGAUAGGACCAUUUGACACUCCAAGUGUUCAUAGUCAGUUAUGCAGGAAUACAGCAGUGGGGAGAGGUCCUCAGCAUUCAGUGCAUUUGGCUGAGCUAAACUUCAGCCAACUCAACAGAGGACUGCUUGUAUUUUCCUUGGUUGUUUGUCUCUUCACACUUGUCUAUGACCAUCUCCCAGGGAAAGGAAAGAUAGGUGGAUUGCUCUGCAAGGAGAGGAAAGCUACUACUACAUAUCUCAGAUAUGAAGAUGUGGCUGGGGAGCUAAGACCACAGAUAUGGGCAGCACAAUGCAAGCUAAUAUAUUUUUGACUCCCCUUUCAGCCAAAGAACUGUGAAAGCUUCUGGGGAAAAAAGUUUUCUUGGGAAUUGCUUUCUAAGCAGAUGUUGUGAUGCUUUUGUAUAUGUAAUGAAAUAAAAAUAAGGUCAGUGUGCUUAUUCCUU
rnacentral:lncRNA from 7 species